AUUGAACGCUGGCGGCAGGCCUAACACAUGCAAGUCGAGCGGAGCGGCGGACGGGUGCGUAAUGCCUAGGAAUCUGCCUGGUCGUGGGGGAUAACGUCAGGAACCGGGCGCUAAUACCGCAUACUAUCAGAUUAGGAUAUGUGGGAUUAGCUAGUUGGUGGGGUAAAGGCAUACCCAGGCGACGAUCCGUAACUGGUCUGAGAGGAUGAUCAGCCACACUGGAACUGAGACACGGUCCAGACUCCUACGGGAGGCAGCAGUGGGGAAUAUUGGACAAUGGGCGAAAGCCUGAUCCAGCCAUGCCGCGUGUAUGAAGAAGGUCUUCGGAUUGUAAAGUACUUUAAGUUGGGAGGCGUUACCAACAGAAGAAGCACCGGCUAACUUCGUGCCAGCAGCCGCGGUAAUAC
rnacentral:rRNA from 1 species